rnacentral:rRNA from 1 species
GAGUUCAAGAGUACGUGAACCGUUUAGGGGUAAACCUGAGAAACCCGAAAGGUCGAAGGGAGAAAUUCAUUCGCGUCUCGUCGCAGGCGUCGAACGGGGUCGAGCGACGGAAAGCGCGUUCGCGUGCCUUUCGCGCCCUCCGUCCGACGAACCGGUGACGAACGCGUGCACUUUUCUCCCGGUAGGACGUCGCGAUCCGUUGGGUGUCGGUCUACGGUUCGCGGUGGAGCCCGUCCGUUCGUCGUUUCGGCGAACGGGCGGACCCGCGUGUCCCGGCCGACUCGCUCGACGGUAUAAUUGAAAGGUUCGGGGCCGCUCUAGGAGCGUUCGACUCGAGGCAAGCGCGCCAGAUGCCGUCGGCGAUCGGACCUCGUGCCGAUUCUGACCUCUGGUGACUGUUGGCCGCGACGUUCUCGAACAGACCCUCUCGAUAACGAACCAUCUGCGACGCUAUAGCUUUGGGUACUUUCAGGACCCGUCUUGAA